rnacentral:rRNA from 1 species
UACGUAGGGUGCGAGCGUUAAUCGGAAUUACUGGGCGUAAAGCGUGCGCAGGCGGUUCGCUGUGUCCUGUGUGAAAGCCCCGGGCUUAACCUGGGAAUGGCAUGGGAAACUGGCGGGCUGGAGUGUGGCAGAGGGGGGUGGAAUUCCGCGUGUAGCAGUGAAAUGCGUAGAGAUGCGGAGGAACACCGAUGGCGAAGGCAGCCCCCUGGGCUAACACUGACGCUCAGGCACGAAAGUGUGGGGAUCAAACAGG